AACUUGUCCCGUCAAUUACAAGAAUUCAUUCAAGGAACUUACAAGAGCAAAGGCAAGGAAACAGAGGAAAGUUCACGUAGCUGUAACAACUAUGAAGGCGGCAACAAUAGACUUCAUGGAAAAACAAAAGCGAGACCCGAGGCAGGGAUAGUGCCAAAGUAUAUGAAGUUGAAUUUUUUAAUGUUUGUGUUAGAAUCCCUCAAUUAGUG
rnacentral:misc_RNA from 1 species